AUGAACGUCCGGCCUGUCCCAACCAACCACGGACUCAUAGGAUACUACCGCAAAUUUGUCCCGCACCACGGCAUCAUCGCCAAGCCAUUGACCCAGCUGCUCGCUAAGGAAGGAUUCCAGUGGAACGACAAGGCCGAUGAGGCGUUCGUGACUGUUCGCGCCCAUUCACCAUCAAGACCGACGCCUGUGACACGGCGGGCGCCACUCGAGAUCGUGACUGAUCACAAGAGCCUCUAUGCGCUCAGCGAUCAGCAAUUAUGGACGGAGCUGCAACGCAAGGCUAUGGCGAAGAUGGUCGGCCUUCAAUUCACCUUCUGCUACAAGCGCGGCACCGACAACGGCGUUGUUGAUGCACUGUCUCGCAGACGUCAAGGUGUUUACUAUGAGUCUAUCCACGCUGCAGCUGGUGAAUCCGGCCAGCAGGGGCGGACGAAGGAGAGAUUGGCAACCAAGCCACGCCACCGCUUACAUGCCAUGGCACAACGGAAUAGGGUGGCUGCAUCAUUGACGCGGACGAGGAUCUCCUGGAUCACCUUGUCCGGCAGCAACUUCCUUCGGUCGAUGGCUGGAUCGGCUACGAGGCGGCGCCAUUGCUUACAGACAGUUGUGCAGCGGAGGAGGGUGGCGCCGUCAUUGAGGCACGCCAGGAUCUCCAGGACCAUGUCGUCCGAGACUGCCAUGGCCACGGACGCCCUCGUGAUUCUUUCCUCCAAGACGGCUGCCACGGAGCGAUCUGUGUGUCCUUACGGCCGCCCCGCCCCCGGCGUAUAUAUAAUGAAUCGCAGUCCUGGUCGAUCCUCUCCGUGGUUGAUUCGUUGGUUCGCGCUACCGAGGCACGUGCUGGCCCAUCAGGGUCAUUCAACUCGCCGGGAUAAUUACGCUCAUAUUGCGUCUCAUGUUUGCCUUGUCGGGUUCGCUUGUGUUGUUGGGACGAACCCCCGAUGGCACUGGAUGAACUGCCCCUUCUGUAUGAAUUUUGCCAGGACCACCUAUACCAACACCAUACGAAAGCGACUACCACCAUGUUCAUGCUUCUGUUUGUGCGCUGAUGAAGCCGAGCUGCACCGGCUGCUCGGCAAGUCCGACAGUGACCUGCUCAAGAUCAUCAGCAUCGGCGCUGGCGCCUGGGGCAGCGUCUUUGCUGCUCUGCUGCAGGACGGCUACGGACACUUCAGGGAGAAGGUGCACAUACGGGUGUGGCGCCGGCAGGGGCGGGCUGUGGACCGGUCCACUGCCGAGCAUCUCUUGGACGUGAUCAACUCCAGGGAGGACAUGCUGAGGCGCCUCAUCCGCCGCUGCGCCUACCUCGAGUACGUUGACGCACGGCUGGGAGACCGGACCCUGUACGCCGAUGAGAUCUUGAGGGAUGGGUUCUGUUUGAACAUGGUCGACACGCCCCUCUGCCCGUUGAAGGUGGUCACCAACCUGCAGGAAGCGGUCUGGGAUGCUGACAUUGUGGUGAAUGGCCUGCCAUCCACUGAAACGCACUGCGUGUUUGCAGGGGUUGCAAGUGCAACACACAUCAGCGCCAAGUGCAACACACAUCAGCAAAUAAAAAAGAAGACUGCGUUCUUACAUGUCCACCUCGUUCCUAGUCAUGGAUUGGCCAUCGCUAAUUUCUCCCUCUAG
rnacentral:rRNA from 1 species